CUCCCCUUGGAACAAAACACUCUGUUUAACAUUGAUUUAAACAUGUUUUUACAAUAUGUGUGAUUGGCACAACACCAAAGCAACCUUUUUGAUGAUUUCCUAGCCCUUACUUACUUUCUCCAAGGGAACUUCUUUUCCCCAGCAUGCCUCUCUGGGAUUGGUCUUUUAUGUUUGAGAGAGCUAAGUAGCUACAGGUCUAAAGUGGCCAUUUUAGAAUUGGCAGUCACUACUAUAUCUUCUCUUCCAUCUGGGUUGCAUUUCCACAAGGAGUCCAGCAUCAUAGCUUGAGCAAUACUUCUGUAAGGAACACCACAGAGAUCACUUCUACAACACAAGGCCUUGUCCAUUAAGCUCCUGUAACAGAUGCUCACUUGCUUCCUGGUUGGAGUGGAGCUACUUAGCAUCCAUCACACUUACCCAGUGGACCCAUUCACCCAGGAAGAGAAGAUGAGGAAGGGACUCUACAUUCCCUCAAGGAGAAGUUAAAGACAAGAUGAAGUGGAACUUGUUUAAAAACAGCUGACAGUGGAGGUCCAUUUUAUUUGGGUGUUGUCUAGCUAAUAAAUGGUAUCACAGCCAGCCUGAUCCACCAUUGCUGCCUAAGUACACCCUCCUUGUUCCACCCUACUCACCACACAAGGAUGCAACUCAUAUACCACAAAAAUAAUAAUGGCUCUGCUCCUUGCAGAAAGCAGUGCAGAGCUACAAUGCACUCUUACUUAAAAAACCCUAUAUCUUCAAACUAAGUUUACUACAGCUUCAGGAAGCACCUGUGGUUGUCAGGUACCACAGUUCCGUUGUGGACAGACAACUCAAGGAUGAAAGAAUGUUGGGCACUUUUCCUAGGAGGCUUUGAAGGGAAGGUCAACAAAUGGGCAAGGUGGGAGGGAAGGAGAAGGGCAAGUAUGAAGUAGCAAGAUGGUUGUAUGUGGAAGCUUAUGUUGAAAAUCCUAGAUGCCAAAAGCUUUCCUUAAAGUCAGCAUAAACUUCCACAUACAAACAUGUUGCUUGCAGGCAAGAAUGCUGUCUAUUGAACUACCAAGAACUUUUAUUCUACAUAGAGCAUUUAAUUGGACUUUUUGCUAAAGAUAAGCAAUAUAGAAGAUCAGUCAGAUAUCCACUUUACACUAUCAGAGAUAAGGAAAGCAAUUAGAGUUAAAGCCCUGUGAGUUCUCUAAUUAAUAAGGAUGUAAUAACAAUGAAGACAAUCUGAUUGUACCAUACUGCUUUGCCUCACACACUAAUUCAUUAUCAGCUAGGUGUGGCUGCAGUGACCAUUGGAGUUUGCUAGAGUUCAUCAAUAAUUAAUUCAACACAUUCAUAUUAAACAGGCCUGUCUUUAAUCUUGACUGGCCAUUGCUGGAAAUGUGUUCUCCCUUUCUCAACUAAAACAACUUGCAUGGUUUGUAAUAUAUAUAAUUGAGAAUGAGGCAUUGAUAGCAUGGGUUGUAAACAGAAAAAUAUUCAAGACCUAGACAUUAAAAUAGUCAUAAAGCUUCCCGAGAGGCUCUGAAGACCUCCUACAAAGUGUGAUGGAGUCUUCAAAAGAACACAAGCCUUUUUUACAUUCAAAAAUUGUGAUGAUGUAUUAAGCACGGAUUAGGAGUCCACUAACUGUUUUUGUGAAGACUAUUACAAUUUUGUUCAUUGAGAAAUAAUAAGGAUGGAUGGAGCUUUUGUCCACAGAAAUAUUCCUGUUUGAUUUUUCAGACAAAAUUAGAAUUGAUGGAGUAAUAAUGUCCACUGUAAUUACUUCAUGGGCAGUUAAGUUAUGAGUAACUUAACUGCUGGGUGCUCCAGUUGAUGAGAUACUGACUAUUACUUGUAUUACAGCGAGACAUGCAGUGUGGUAAUGAAGCCUGCUGGGUGCCCAAAGUUCUGUUGAAAGUACCUAGAGCCAUUUUAAAAGAUGGACAAACCAAGUCUGGUAGAUUAUUCUACUGUGCCCAGGCACUGGGAACAGGAUUUGCCACUAGUGCUAGAAGGAUACUGCACGCAACUAAACGGGAGAUUAAUCUGAAUAGGAAAAAGGACAAUUUCUCUCCGGAUAUAUUCCAGAUCACUCCACUGCUAUAUGAACUUCGUUAUACAAUUCAUGUUGAAAUAGCCAUACUAUAUCCUGCAAAACUAAGAGCUAUUUACCAAGACAUUAAAGAUUUAUAAGAAAUUAAAUCCUCUCCUGUGGAGAGAGUCAGCAUAAGGUCUAUGCACCACUCAUGCUAGUUCUCCUCUGCCAGGGGAGAAUUUCACCAUUAGUGACAAAGAUGAUGGAAGAAUAGAGCUUGAAGAGGGGAGUGUGUGUGUGUGUGGGGGGAGGGAAUAGGUUGUUUUUUUCUUCAUAUUAACCAAAACUUUCAUUUUAGAUACACCUACUGGGUAAAAUAUCAGGCUUUUGUUUUGAACCAAUCCUAUAAUAUAGACAAGAACUGAAAUAACUGUGGAUAAUAUUAUACUGUUCCUAUUUCUGGAUCUCAUUUUUAUAUAUUGUUCCCUCUUCCUUUUUUUAUAAUGUAUUUUUACAACUGACUUAAUAGUAGAGAGUAUCUGGUUAUUUUUCUCUUGUGAAAGAUUUAAAUAUUGAGUGAAAUCAGGGGUGGCUCUAGGCAUUUUGCUGCCCCAAGCACGGCAGGCAGGCUGCCUUCCGCGGGAGGUCCGCCAAAGCCG